GACGAACGCUGGCGGCGUGCCUAAUACAUGCAAGUAGAACGCUGAAGGAGGAGCUUGCUUCUCUGGAUGAGUUGCGAACGGGUGAGUAACGCGUAGGUAACCUGCCUGGUAGCGGGGGAUAACUAUUGGAAACGAUAGCUAAUACCGCAUAAGAUUGACUAUUGCAUGAUAGUCAGUUAAAAGGUGCAAUUGCAUCACUACCAGAUGGACCUGCGUUGUAUUAGCUAGUUGGUGGGGUAACGGCUCACCAAGGCGACGAUACAUAGCCGACCUGAGAGGGUGAUCGGCCACACUGGGACUGAGACACGGCCCAGACUCCUACGGGAGGCAGCAGUAGGGAAUCUUCGGCAAUGGACGGAAGUCUGACCGAGCAACGCCGCGUGAGUGAAGAAGGUUUUCGGAUCGUAAAGCUCUGUUGUAAGAGAAGAACGAGUGUGAGAGUGAAAAGUUCACACUGUGACGGUAUCUUACCAGAAAGGGACGGCUAACUACGUG
rnacentral:rRNA from 1 species